UGGUGUAAGUUUGAGAACUCUGGG
rnacentral:piRNA from 1 species